UACACUUCCCACUGCGUGUGUUCUUCGUCCAAGCCUAUCUAAUUCGCAGAAAUUGAUCAAUCAACCCAACAAGUGCGAGAAUUGAGAAGAUACCGAUCGCGAUUAGAGGCGAAAUUGCGCGCAGGAUUCGAACCGCAGCUGUUUACAGUGAUGCAGAUGAGAGCGGCUUGCAUCUCUAGUCGUCUGAUGAAUCCGUUUCGCAUUGGAACCCCCGCCGGCUCGGCUCGGCUCGGCUCGGCUCGGCUACUUGAGCGCUCAGCCCGAUCGAUGCAGCAAUUCGCAUGCAUGGUGACGACCCGCGAUCCAGGUCUUUGGUGUUGAUCUGCCCGGCUUCAGACGAGUAGGUUUUUGUAGUAUGUGGAGGCUCUCGGAUUUGAGAAGGUUUGCGGAAAAGAUGAUUGAUGAAAGAAUUAUAAUCAACGAGUCAACAAAACGAAGGUGAAGAAUUGUUUCUAUGAGGGGAAAAGUUCGGGUGAAAUCUAUGACCAGAUUUCAAGAAAGUGAAAAGUUCGCGUGAUAUCCGUUUUUCUCCCUUCAGUUUCUUUUCUGUUCAAAUUGCUCUUCCGAUUUUUGUUUAAAUUAGGUUCGAUUUCGGAUGUUAAAUAGUUCUAAAACAAGAGAUUAAUUUCUAACUUACAAUGGUUUGUUAGCCAACCGUGGAUUUGGGCACGGUAUUUAAACUUUAGUUUUGCAGAGUACGUAAUUGAAACGGACGACUUUAUCAUCCCUGCUUAGAGGUUCAAAUUAGCAAAUACUGCAUGAAUCGGUGCAUUUAUCGGUGAACUGUUGUGCGAUAUACCGAAAUUAGCCUUCGGCUUUUCAUCUCCUCUUUUUGCAGCAAUUCCUCCGAAGAUGUUACCAUGUGUUUGUCUUUGUACAAGGGAAGAUCAAAGUGCUAUAAGGAGUUCUAAGUGCGGAAUCUCACAAGCCUGUAUCAGUAAGUUGAUUGAUUUUUUUUUUUUCGCAAUCUGCCUUUGUACAUUAGUUUACAUCCUCAUUUGAGCCGACUAGCUAAUCUUAAUCACUUUGCUCGUGUCGAGGGAUUUUCUAGUUGUGGUUCGUAGGACUUAGUUUUCAUGUUUUACUUCUGUCACCUCCAUCUCUAACAAAGUCUCCAAAUCCUUGUAACUACAUAUGUAAACGAGACUCACUGUCGGAAUUCUUAGACAUGUGCAAUAAUUAUUCACUUUCUUCUUCA